rnacentral:rRNA from 1 species
UACAGAGGUCUCAAGCGUUGUUCGGAUUCAUUGGGCGUAAAGGGUGCGUAGGCGGCGCGGUAAGUCGGGUGUGAAAUCUCGGAGCUUAACUCCGAAACUGCAUUCGAUACUGCCGUGCUUGAGGACUGGAGAGGAGACUGGAAUUUACGGUGUAGCGGUGAAAUGCGUAGAUAUCAUAAGGAAGACCAGUGGCGAAGGCGGGUCUCUGGACAGUUCCUGACGCUGAGGCACGAAGGCCAGGGGAGCAAACGGG